UGGUUUAUAGAAUAAAUUCCUAUUGGUUUAUCACAACUGAUUAUUUGAUUGAAAAACUAAGAAUAUGAAAAUACCAACAAUGGAAGACUUUCCUAAUCUUGGCUCAGUAUGAACUAAUAUUUUGAUUUCUAAUUGCAAUUUUAAGGUUUGUUGGGUUUUACCAGAGGCUGUUGCUGAGUAGCCUUAAAAUCUUUUCUGAACGUCUGUUUUCUAAGGUCUAUGAUAUAGUUAUGUGAAUACUUUUAUCACUGACUUUUUCUGUUGUAAUGGUUGUCUAAGGAUUUUGUACAUCAAAUACUAUAGAUAAAAUUCCUUUAAAAUCAAAUUAUUAAUCAAGGGCUCUGUAUUUUUUAAAAAGCUCAAGUAAUUUCAUUUCUCAGUAGUCUUAAUAGUGAUUUAUUUAUGAAGAUUAAACUGAUAUAGAAAGUAAUUUAUUGGAACGUUUAUUAGUAUGAGGGAGAAAAAGAAAUUAGCUAUUUCUUAAUCAUUCUGCAUAAAUUUUCAAAAUAAAGAAUACCAUACUACACAGUAAUCUCUGCUUGAGGAGGAAACACUUAUGUAUGUGUUACUUUUUACUCAAAUUUUAAAUAAUAUGUUCCAAGACCCUACCUGGGUACCUGAAACCCAAGGUAGAACCAAACCAUAUAUAUAUAUUAUUAUUAUUUUCCUAUACAUACAUAUCUGUGAUAAAAUGUAAAUUAUUAAGCAAAUUAAGAGUUAACAUAACUAAUAAUAAAAUAGAAUAAUUGUAACAAUAUGUUUUAAUAUAAUCACAGAAUCACUAUUGUCCUUGGGGCCAUUAUUAAGUAAAAUAAAGAUUACUUGAAUACUGUGAAACUAGGAGAGUAUGAUAACUGAGAUUGUUAUUAAGUGACUAACAGUGACUAAUCAUCCAUGCAUCGUGUACUGCAUGGAUGAUUUGCAUCCCAGGUUGGAUGGAGCAGGACAGUAUGAAAUUUUAUUAUCAUGCUACUCAAAAUGGCUGACAAUUUAAAAUGUAUGAGGUAUGUAUUUCUGGAAUUUUUAUUUAAAAAUUUCAAACUACUGUUGACAUUGGGUGACUGAAACUGUGGAAAGUAAAAACUUCAGAUGGGGGGCUAAUAUAAUGUGAUUUCUAACAGGGAUUUACAAUAAUAAGCAAUUUGUUAUAUAACAAUCCACUAUAAUAGAAUACCUAUAAGAACAUAAAAGAGGAAGAAGCAUAAAAUAUUGUAUUAAAACUGGCAGAAACUGUUGCUUUUUAUGUCAUGCUUUUUUUUACCAAAGGAGAAUUAGAAUAAAAAGUGAUUAGACCUACUUGUAUUAUAAAAAGGACCUGAUUUGAAAAUAGAAAGAGAAAGGCUUAUAUGAGAAAUUUUAUUUGAAUAAUGAUGUUAAUAACAUUAUUGUAUAUCAUUUCACAAAGCAUGUUUCCUUAGGAAUGGUCUUUGGUGCUAAUCUAUGGUCACAUUAGUGAAUGUGAAUGAAAAAAUGAAAUAGGCACUGAAAGAUAAUCCCUAGUGGCUAUUGAUACCAUGUACAUGAAAAGAAAUGAAUAUAAAGAUUAAUGUAUUGCUGGAUUACUAGUUUUCACUCCUUGUUUUGGCAUAUUAAACAUAGUUUUAAGUAAUAAAAUACCUAUUACAAUGCUUAGUUAUAACAUCUGGAGUCAAUUUUGUUAAGUUUGUUCAUUAAUUUAUUUAGCAAACAUUUAUUGGGCAUUUUCCAUGUAUCAGAUACUGCCAGGAUCAGGGAAUAAAGAAACGAGAAAGGACAAUCUGCCUUUAAUUGCUUAUAUAGGAGCCUGACAAAAAUCAGUCAGUAGAAUUUGGUGUGUUGGGUGUCAUGAGGUUUAGAGAAGAGGCUGUGGAGGGGCAACCACUUCUGAGAACAGGUAGUAGUAAAAAUGAGUAUUCAAGACUCAUUCUUUGGAAGGUAGACAGUGGAUUUUAGACUGAGAAAACCACAUAUUGUUUUUCAUGACGUUUACAUUCACUAUUAAUUUACAAUUGGCAUGAAUGUUCUAAUUUCAGCUUAUUUGCUGAAGGUGGAAAGUGGGAUUUGCAGGGAUUAUGGGUUCCCAAAAUUGUAUGUUUGUCAGUAUUGUUUUGUGAAAUAGCUGAGCAUUUAUAAUAAUAGUUACAAGCUUCUAUAAAUCAGUUAUAAAAUAUGAUUAGCUUCAGGGAAGAAAUUUUAACAUGUGCAGGCUUUGAAUGUUUUAUUAUGUGAACUGGCAAUGAUAUACAUGAGAUUAUUAUGACAAUGACAUGACAGAUAUUUAAGGAAUUCUAAAAUGCUUUAUGGAUCUCCAAAAAUGUGAAUAGCCAAGUGACUCCAUUUAUAUAGCUUUACAACCUUGCGUAAAUUUUCUUUGUUGUAAAACCUUUGGAAAUACAUUUUUAAUAGAGGUUCUCUUUACUUGGUAAAAUUAAUAAUCAAAUGACUACAAAUAAAAUUAACUUAGCCUUUUUUGGGGAGAGAGGGUAGUCUGAGCAUUUAACUCCUUACCUGUCUAUAAACAUUAAUUCAAAGCAACGUUAAGUCAUAACCUGUCUUAAAAAUGUUUAGUAUAGAGAAUAUGUAUGUGCAUGUUGUGAUGUUAUUCAUAUAGUUAUGGAAUAAUAAAAUUAUUAUAAUGAACUACUUCAAACUGUGCUUACUUACAAGAAAAUGAAAUAAAAAAUAGAAAAAUACUGUGUCAA